rnacentral:sRNA from 1 species
GGGUGCUGCCUGGAGUCUCCUGCGUGUCUCUGCUCCUUUGAUGUCAGCAUCGGGGAGAAAGGUGGUAAAGAACACUUGUUUCAGUUUGAGGUGCUCGGCAGCCACGCACUGAAGGACGGUUUUUAAUUGUAGGGUGGGGACUGAGAAUGGUGCAUACUAACUGCUGAAGAACACGGUGAAUGGAGUUAUGGUAAUUGCACGACUGGCAUGAAGGGGUGAGAGAAGUUUCAGAUUGGUCGAUUAAAAUACUUGGGAGGCUGCAUUCUGAUAAUUCUCAGGAGGAAGGAUGUAUAGGAGAGACCAGAGUUUUUAAGGUGUGACCUCUGAACCACCUACAUCAGAGCCGACCGCCUCUCGUGUCUGGGAGCCAGCUUCUGAGUGUUGUCAAGGUGUUUGAGGAGCCAGUCUGUCUCCGUCAUCUGUUCCUGCCUUACUUAGAUGGAAAAUAAUGAAAUCUGUGUAGGAAGGGAGGGUGAGUAGAGGGAUGGCCUGGGUUGACUGAACAAUAAAAUAGUGAUGUUAAU